AAGAGACAAAAAUAUUUUCCUUACAAAGCUUUCAUUUUAAGGAAUCUAGACAAAAAAAGUAAGAAAAAUACAUGCAUUGUUAGAUAGUGAUAAGUGUUAUAGAUAAAAAUAAAACAGGAAAUGGGGUGAGGGUGUGAGUUGCAGUUUAAAUUGGACGAUUAGGGAAGGUUUCACUGCAAAGAUAUUUGAGCAAAGACUUGAUGGAGGUGAGGAGCAUGGCCUUUGGAUCUUGGAGAAAAGGCAUAGGAAACAGCAAGACCUUGAAGGAGCAGGCCCGGUGUGUUUGAGGAGCAGGGGGAAACCAGUGGCGAAAGCAGAGUGAAUGAAAGUGGGUCAGAGAAGAUGAAGCUGGGGUGAGCAAGAUAAUUGUUGCUGGUGGGAUCAGAAUGAAUAAUGGAGGCAAGUGGUGUCAGUCAAUAAUCAUCUGGAAUAAAUUGCUAAUCAGAAGUGGAGCUGAGCUACAUGAUCUGAAGAAAGAAACAGCCUUCCUUCAAGUCCGUACUUCUAUCAAUUCACAGAAAGAGACGACUUGUCUUUCACUUGGCUUCAGCCAGAUAAUGUAAAUCAGUUAUGUAUUCUCAGGCACCCUCUCUUACAGUCGCCUGGCUGGAGUGUAUUUUAUGACCCCAUCUAAUUGAGGAUAAUUCGGUCAUUUGUGCUGUUUAAUGAAAACCAGACCCCUCUGAUAUCUGCUAUAAAUCAACGCCCAAGACAUUUUAUUUUUCCAGAAAUGAAGGCUGAUGUGAUGGGUAGUUUUCUACUUCAUGGAUCAAGAAAAUUUGACAGUUUAUCUUACAGUCUAAAGGGAGAAGUAAGUCAUGCGGGUCUUGGCAUGUAAAGGAAGAGCAGACUGGCUCAGUGGGUCACCCUUCACAUAUAACUCAACACUGCCUUUCAAAGCCAAAGCCUUAACUUAGAAGGCCACAAGAGAAGGCUACACAGAGAUGGUUAAGAAGCAACAGACAGGAGGUCCUGGAAAAAGACAGAAGCGAGCACAGAGACAUGGGAACCUCAAACCACCAAGAAAGCAGUGCCAGGAGCACAACGCAUCCUUUGGACCUGAGGUUCCUGAGCUGAAAUGCUCCCAGACCAAGGAAUGACUGAUAAUAAGGACCUUCCUCCAGAGCCAACAGAGAGAGCCUUCCUCUGGAGCCGGCACCCUGAACUCGGACUUCUAGCCUACGAGACUGUGAGAGAAUAAACUUCUUUG